AGCAGCCGCGGUAAUUCCAGCUCCAAUAGCGUAUAUUAAAGUUGUUGCAGUUAAAAAGCUCGUAGUUGAAUUUCGGGGUCAGUAGGUCGGUCGUGCCACUGGUAUGAACUGGUUUUACUGAUUCCUCCCUCUUGAAGAACUGUAAUGCCAUUAAUUUGGUGUUGCAGGGAAUCAGGACUGUUACUUUGAAAAAAUUAGAGUGUUUAAAGCAGGCUUUAGCUUGAAUACAUUAGCAUGGAAUAAUGAAAUAGGACGUUUGAUCCUAUUUUGUUGGUUUCUAGGAUUGACGUAAUGAUUAAUAGGGAUAGUUGGGGGCAUUAGUAUUCAAUUGUCAGAGGUGAAAUUCUUGGAUUUAUUUAAGACUAACUACUGCGAAAGCAUUUGCCAAGGAUGUUUUCAUUAAUCAAGAACGAAAGUUAGGGGAUCGAAGACGAUCAGAUACCGUCGUAGUCUUAACCAUAAACUAUGCCGACUAGGGAUCGGAUGAUGUUAAUUUUUUAAUGACUCA
rnacentral:rRNA from 1 species